rnacentral:rRNA from 1 species
AUUCCAGAGGGCAUGCCUGUUUGAGUAUCAUGAACACCUCAACUCUCACGGUUUGCCGUGAUGAGCUUGGACUUUGGGGGUCUUGCUGGCCUGUGGUCGGCUCCUCUUAAAUGGAUCAGCUUGCCAGUGUUUGGUGGCAUCACAGGUGUGAUAACUAUCUACGCUUGUGGUUUUCCACCAGGUAACCUUCAGCAGUGGAGGUUCACUGGAGCUCACAGACGUCUCUCCUCAGCGAGGACAGCUCUUUGAAUGUUUGAUCUCAAAUCAGGUAGGACUACCCGCUGAACUUAAGCAUAUCAAUAAGCGGA